CCAAGAGAUGAGUUCUCCCGGGUUAUAAACCUGUAAGGGUUGUUUAAGACUAAGACGUAGAUAGGCAGGGUGUGUAAGUGAUGUGAGUCAUUGAGCUAACCUGUACUAAUUGCCCGAGAGGCUUAACUAUACAACGCUCAAG
rnacentral:rRNA from 1 species